rnacentral:rRNA from 1 species
UACAGAGGGUGCAAGCGUUAAUCGGAAUUACUGGGCGUAAAGCGUGCGUAGACGGUCAUGUAAGUCGGGUGUGAAAGCCCCGGGCUCAACCUGGGAAUUGCAUUCGAGACUGCAUGGCUAGGAUGCGGAAGAGGGAAGCGGAAUUUCCGGUGUAGCGGUGAAAUGCGUAGAUAUCGGAAGGAACACCAGUGGCGAAAGCGGCUCGCUGGGCCAUUCCUGACGCUGAGACGCGAAAGCUAGGGGAGCGAACAGG